GGCUUUGGGAAUCAAGGUUCCAGCUGAAAUGUGUUUAUUUAUCAGUAACGUCUCACUUUCUGUACAUGUUCUACAUCCAUGUGGGGAAUAUUGCCACUUUUUUGUAUAUUCAUGCCCAGUAGUGGGACUAGAAAUCAUUGGUUCUAGGAAUUCUGCACAUGUGACUGGGAAUUCAUGUGCAUAUUGUUUUAUAUAUACAUACUUUGCUGGUGUGACUGAGAAGUCCGCGGGAACUACCCUUGUGUGUUCUCUAACCCGCCCUAAGCAUUCAAUCAUUCACUUUUUUGUUCAUUAAAAUUUAAUGUACUUUUAUUGUGCAUGUAGUGGUUGGCAUGCUCUAUACUGUUGAUCCAGAGAUGAAUAAUAUGUGGGCUUGCUCUCCAGAAACUGAGCACAGCCAAGAAAAGAGAGGCUUUUAGACAAUUCUGUCCUGUGUGGCCAAUACUUCUUUACCUUUCUGGUGUUCAGAGACAUUUCUUCAAGUGAAACUGUAGCCUUGCCUGAGUAGACACUUUGUGGAAUCUGAACAGGCGAUCUGCCCUCUGCCCUUUCUUCCUGGGGAAGGGUAUGGUUUUGGACUCUCAAAGUUCUGUCAUCAUACUCUCUGUCUCCUUAUCCAUCCAGCUUCAGCCAGUUCUCUUCACCACUUCCAAAGCGAGGAUGAAAAUUCCACCUGCUCGUCAAAACUCAGCCAGAGCUCAGCCUCCCUCCAAUGAGAAAAUGUCCCCUGUGCUACAAGCUGAAGCCACAAAGACCAGUGUCAACGGAGGAGACCCUAGUGCCCACAAAUAAAGCCCAGCACUGUACAUCCACGUAAAGUCCUGGGGCUGUAAAGAGGACUUCUUUUCAGGAACCCAGGAGGACCAAAUCAGGUCUGUUUCCCCAAAGCGCAGAGAGGUCCUUGAGGCCGUGGUUCUCAAUUCUAGAAAAGGGAUAUGUGCAUAUCAAAGUCAUCUGGAAGCCUUUUCCAAACUUCUACUCUGCCCCUCUGGGGAGAUGGAGAUUUUCAGGCUUGUUCCCACUCCUGCCUGAGAAACCCUGCCUUAGCAGAAUGCCAGCUGGGGUUAUAGACUUCACCUCUGCAGAAAAGGAGGAGCAGUGACUAAAGUACAUAAAACUUCAGAAGACACAGCUCUCCCCAACCUACUGACUCAUCAUAUCCAGCAGAUCAGAUGCAUUUUCAUAACUUCCUAGUAAUUACAUUUAUAUUCAAAAAUAAUUACUUUCUGAAUUUAAUUGUUGGCUGAGUAUUUACAGUCUGUCAGAGGAAAUCCAAAAGGAUAUUGCAAGAUGAGGAGGUGUCCUCGCCUCUAUGCCAGGCCAAGUCCCAGGUCAAGGCCGGGCUGCCAGAGUGGGGUUGGGGAAGUGAUAGAAGCAGAAACUGCAUCUUAAAAGGACUGCUUACAGAACGAGGUGCUCGCCAGAAGCAAAAAACAAAGGAUGGAUGACAGAGCUUCCUGCAAAUGUUUGAAGCACUAUUGUGGGCAAGAGGGAAAUGCUUUGUUUUGUUUGGUGCCAGAGGAUAGAAUUAGAACAGACAGGAAGAGUUUCUAAAGACCCAGACUUUGCAUCAACGUGAAAAGAACAUUGUAACAGUUGUUCAGAAAAGCAAUGGUCAUCUUCUAAGAAGGAAGGAUGCCACCUUUGAACUUGUUCAGGAAGUUCACCUGUCAGGGAUCCCAGGGAAGACACUUCUGAUUGGGAUCAGUUCAACCAGAUGACCUCCAAGAUUCUGUGUAAGAGGUGAAUUUGACGUUUAGAAAUGAGCCGUAAAGAACCAG
rnacentral:lncRNA from 1 species